rnacentral:rRNA from 1 species
UCGAGAAUCUUCCGCAAUGGACGAAAGUCUGACGGAGCGACGCCGCGUGGAGGAAGAAGGCCUUCGGGUUGUAAACUCCUGUCAGAGCUUAUGAAUGCAGGCGGGCUAAUAUCCCGUUCUGUUGACAAAGGGCUCAAAGGAAGCCACAGCUAACUUCGUGCCAGCAGCUGCGGUAAUACGAAGGUGGCGAGCGUUGUUCGGAUUCACUGGGCAUAAAGGGCGCGUAGGCGGCUUGGUAAGCGGAGUGUGAAAGCCCGGGGCUCAACCCCGGAACUGCACUCCGAACUGCCGAGCUAGAGAUCGAGAGGGGACUGUGGAACUCUAGGUGGAGCGGUGAAAUGCGUAGAUAUCUAGAGGAACACCGGUGGCGAAGGCGACAGUCUGGCUCGUUUCUGACGCUGAGGCGCGAAAGCGUGGGUAGCAAACAGGAUUAGAUACCCUGGUAGUCCACGCCGUAAACGAUGAGCACUAGGUAGCCGGAGGAUCCGACCUCUGGCUGCUGUAGCUAAUGCACUAAGUGCUCCGCCUGGGGAGUAUGGUCGCAAGGCUG